rnacentral:tRNA from 2 species
GGGCCUAUAGCUCAGCUGGUUUAGAGCGCACGCCUGAUAAGCGUGAGGUCGAUGGUUCGAGUCCAUUUAGGCCCACUA